rnacentral:rRNA from 1 species
AUUGAACGCUGGCGGCAGGCCUAACACAUGCAAGUCGAACGGUAACAGGAAGAAGCUUGCUUCUUUGCUGACGAGUGGCGGACGGGUGAGUAAUGUCUGGGAAACUGCCUGAUGGAGGGGGAUAACUACUGGAAACGGUAGCUAAUACCGCAUAACGUCGCAAGACCAAAAAGGGGGACCUUCGGGCCUCUUGCCAUCGGAUGUGCCCAGAUGGGAUUAGCUAGUAGGUUGGGUAACGGCUCACCUAGGCGACGAUCCCUAGCUGGUCUGAGAGGAUGACCAGCCACACUGGAACUGAGACACGGUCCAGACUCCUACGGGAGGCAGCAGUGGGGAAUAUUGCACAAUGGGCGCAAGCCUGAUGCAGCCAUGCCGCGUGUAUGAAGAAGGCCUUCGGGUUGUAAAGUACUUUCAGCGGGGAGGAAGGGAGUAAAGUUAAUACCUUUGCUCAUUGACGUUACCCGCAGAAGAAGCACCGGCUAACUCCGUG